rnacentral:rRNA from 1 species
UACAGAGGGUGCGAGCGUUAAUCGGAAUACUGGGCGUAAAGCGUGCGCAGGCGGUUAUGUAAGACAGUUGUGAAAUCCCCGGGCUCAACCUGGGAACUGCAUCUGUGACUGCAUAGCUAGAGUACGGUAGAGGGGGAUGGAAUUCCGCGUGUAGCAGUGAAAUGCGUAGAUAUGCGGAGGAACACCGAUGGCGAAGGCAAUCCCCUGGACCUGUACUGACGCUCAUGCACGAAAGCGUGGGGAGCAAACAGG